rnacentral:rRNA from 1 species
AGCGAACGCUGGCGGCAGGCUUAACACAUGCAAGUCGAGCGGGCACUUCGGGCUCAGCGGCAGACGGGGGGGUAACACGGGGGGACGUACCCUUUGGUUCGGAAUAACGCUGGGAAACUAGCGCUAAUACCGGAUACGCUCUUUCGGGGUACGGCGUGCUGCGGCAGGGUCGGCGCGCGUCUGAUUAGCGGGUUGGUGGGGUAAUCGCAUAUCAUGGCGAGGUUCAGUAGCUGGUGUGAGAGGAGGAUCAGCCACACUGGGACUGAGACACGGACCAGACUGGUACGCGAGGGAGGAGAGGGGAAUAUUGGAGAAUGGGCGCAAGUCUGAUCCAGCCGUGCGGGGUGAGUGAUGAAGGCGUUAGGGUAGUAAAGCUCUUUUGUCCGGGGCGAUAAUGACGGUACCGGAAGAAUAAGCCCCGGCUAACUUCGUG